rnacentral:rRNA from 1 species
CCAAAUAUCUAAACGGAGAAAUUCAAUAUUACUCCCAAAAAGUAAUGUGCACUUUUCUCUUAGUAAGACGCCGUGAUCCAUUAGAAAUUGGUGCUAUUGUCACAGUGGGUCAUCGAUGGGCCGGUAUGAAGUUUAUUCGGAACAAAUGGCACGAUCUUUCACGGUUGUGUGUAUUGUCUGGUAAGCAUACCGUUACUCGUAAUGACUGUCUGAUGGAUUUUAAAGACUAACAUCAAUAGUGUUACGACACUAAUGCCUUUGUGCAUAUUCGAUGCGUGUCUGAUCAACGGCGGUUAAAUUUGGGAUACCUUUUGGACCCGUCUUGAAACACGGACCAAGGAGUCUAUCUAGUAUGCGAGUAAAUGGAUAGUUUUGAUGAAAUCUAUUUGCGUAAUAAACUUGACUGUUUUCUCAUGGGACUACGAUUGGAUGACAAGUAAUUGUCACUUUUCUUCCGUCCCGGGGUAUUUCUAUCAACAUAUGGCGCAAGUUAUAUGAGAAAUAUACCAUGAGCACACUGGAUACGACCCGAAAGAUGGUGAACUAUGCCUGAUCAGGUCGAAGUCAGGGGAAACUCUGAUGGAGGACCGAAGCAGUUCUGACGUGCAAAUCGAUUGUCAGAAUUGGGCAUAGGGGCGAAAGACCAAUCGAACCAUC